rnacentral:rRNA from 1 species
GGAUGCGAUCAUACCAGCACUAAAGCACCGGAUCCCAUCAAAACUCCGAAGUUAAGCGUGCUUGGGUGAGAGUAGUACUAGGAUGGGUGACCUCCUGGGAAGUCCUCCUGUUGCAUUCC